UUUAAACUUGAGAGUUUGAUCAUGGCUCAGAACGUACGCUGGCGGCACGCCUUAUACAUGCAAGUCGAACGAAGUAGCAAUACUUAGUGGCAGACGGGUGAGUAACAUGUAGGUAUCUACCCUUUGGUGAGGAAUAACACGAGGAAACUUGUGCUAAUACCUCAUAAGUCUUUACGGAGAAAGCUUUAUGCGCCGAAGGAUGAGCCUGCACUUGAUUAGUUUGUUGGUGGGGUAAUGGCCUACCAAGACUUUGAUCUAUAGCUGAUCUGAGAGGAUGAUCAGCCACAUUGGGACUGAGACACGGCCCAAACUCCUACGGGAGGCAGCAGUAGGGAAUAUUGCACAAUGGAGGAAACUCUGAUGCAGCGAUGCCGCGUGAGUGAAGAAGGCCUUUGGGUUGUAAAGCUCUUUCGUCGGGGAAGAAAAUGACUGUACCCGAAUAAGAAGGUCCGGCUAACUUCGUGCCAGCAGCCGCGGUAAUACGAAGGGACCUAGCGUAGUUCGGAAUUACUGGGCUUAAAGAGUUCGUAGGUGGUUAAAAAAGUUGGUGGUGAAAUCCCAGAGCUUAACUCUGGAACUGCCAUCAAAACUUUUUAGCUAGAGUAUGAUAGAGGAAAGCAGAAUUUCUAGUGUAGAGGUGAAAUUCGUAGAUAUUAGAAAGAAUACCAAUUGCGAAGGCAGCUUUCUGGAUCAUUACUGACGCUGAGGAACGAAAGCAUGGGUAGCGAAGAGGAUUAGAUACCCUCGUAGUCCAUGCCGUAAACGAUGUGUGUUAGACGUUGGAAAUUUAUUUUCAGUGUCGCAGCGAAAGCGUUAAACACACCGCCUGGGGAGUACGACCGCAAGGUUAAAACUCAAAUGAAUUGACGGGGACCCGCACAAGUAGUGGAGCAUGUGGUUUAAUUCGAAGAUACGCGCAGAACCUUACCAACACUUGACAUGUUCGUCGCGACUCUAAGAGAUUAGAGUUUUCGGUUCGGCCGGACGAAACACAGGUGCUGCAUGGCUGUCGUCAGCUCGUGUCGUGAGAUGUUGGGUUAAGUCCCGCAACGAGCGCAACCCUCACUUUUAGUUGCCAUCAUUUAGUUGGGCACUCUGAAAGAACUGCCAGUGAUAAGCUGGAGGAAGGUGGGGAUGACGUCAAGUCCUCAUGGCCCUUACGUGUUGGGCUACACACGUGCUACAAUGGCAUUUACAAUAGGAAGCAAGGUGGCGACAUCAAGCAAAUCCUAAAAAGAUGCCUCAGUUCGGAUUGUACUCUGCAACUCGAGUACAUGAAGCUGGAAUUACUAGUAAUCGCGGAUCAGCGCGCCGCGGUGAAUACGUUCCCGGGUCUUGUACACACCGCCCGUCACACCAUGGGAGUUGGUUCUACCUUAAGGCAAGGUUUUAAACCCUUGACUACGGUAUAGUCAGCGACUGGGGUGAAGUCGUAACAAGGUAGCCGUAGGGGAACCUGCGGCUGGAUUACCUCCUUUCUA
rnacentral:rRNA from 1 species